rnacentral:tRNA from 1 species
GCCUUCGUGGUGUAACGGUAGCACACUCGGCGCGUAUUCGAGAGGUAUAGGUUCGAAUCCCGGCGAGGUCA